ACUUUGUUGUUUGGGCAUUGUAUGAUUUUAUCCUUGAACCUUUGUUAUACUACAUAUAAAGGAUCACCACUAUAUUGAUGAAAAAUUGUGAUUUCAUCCCUUAAAUU
rfam:Capsicum annuum cultivar Zunla-1 chromosome 4, whole genome shotgun sequence